rnacentral:lncRNA from 10 species
GUUGGACAGGUCUGCUUUAGUGACAGAAUUUAACAAGAAGGUAAAGGAUGUAGUUCAAAUCAUGGUUCUCUGUAGCUUGUGUUCAAAUAGUUUGACAGUUUGGUAUGAGGGCUGUCUUCACUGAAGCAUCGCCUGUCUUGCUUAGAUCAAAGGAAGAACUAUCCGAGUGGAUCAUGUGUCUAACUAUCGGGCUCCUAAGGACUCAGAAGAAAUAGAUGAUGUGACCAGACAACUCCAGGAGAAGGGCUGUGGGGCUCGUACCCCCUCACCAAGUUUGUCUGAGAGCUCUGAAGAUGAAAAACCAACAAAAAAGCACAAAAAAGACAAAAAGGAAAAAAAGAAAAAAAAGAAAGAAAAA